rnacentral:piRNA from 1 species
UCCAUUCAUGACAGCCUGUGAAGCUGAUGGA